CGGAGGGUGCAAGCGUUGCUCGGAAUUAUUGGGCGUAAAGGGUAGGUAGGUGGUCUCAUUUGUCUGGGGUGAAAGCCUUGAGCUUAACUCAAGAAGUGCCCCAGAAACGGUGAGACUAGAGUCCUGGAGAGGGUCGUGGAAUUCCCGGUGUAGCGGUGAAAUGCGUAGAGAUCGGGAGGAACACCAGAGGCGAAGGCGGCGACCUGGACAGGUACUGACACUCAACUACGAAAGCGUGGGGAGCAAACAGGAUUAGAUACCCUGGUAGUUCACGCUGUAAACGAUGGGUACUAGGUUUGGUGGGUCUUGACCCCCGCCGAACCGGCGCUAACGCACUAAGUACCCCGCCUGGGAAGUACGGUCGCAAGACUA
rnacentral:rRNA from 1 species